rnacentral:rRNA from 1 species
AGGUGCUGCACGGCUGUCGUCAGCUCGUGUCGUGAGAUGUUGGGUUAAGUCCCGCAACGAGCGCAACCCUCGUCCUUAGUUGCCAGCAGGUUAAGCUGGGCACUUUAAGGAGACUGCCUUCGUAAGGAGGAGGAAGGUGAGGACGACGUCAAGUCAUCAUGGCCCCUAUGGCUAGGGCUACACACGUGCUACAAUGGGGCGUACAGAGAGUUGCGAUACCGCGAGGUGGAGCCAAUCUCAUAAAGCGUCUCUCAGUUCGGAUUGAAGUCUGCAACUCGACUUCAUGAAGCUGGAAUCACUAGUAAUCGUAGAUCAGCAACGCUACGGUGAAUACGUUCCCGGGUCUUGUACUCACCGCCCGUCACACCAUGGGAGUUGAUUUCACCCGAAAUUGGGAAGCUAACCUUCGGGAAGCUACCACUUACGGUGGAAUUAGCGACUGGGGUGAAGUCGUAACAAGGUA